UACGUAGGGUUCGAGCGUUGUCCGGAAUUAUUGGGCGUAAAGGGCUCGAUAGGCGGUUUGUCGCGUCGGGAGUGAAACACUGGGCUUAACCGAGUGCUUGCUUCGAUACGGCAGACUUGAGGCAUGAGGGAGAACGGAAUCCGUGGUGUAGCGGUGAAAUGCGCAGAUAUCAGGAGGAACACCGGUGGCGAAGGCGGUUCUCUGGCAAUGUUCUGACGCUGAGGAGCGAAAAGUGUGGGGGAGC
rnacentral:rRNA from 1 species